rnacentral:rRNA from 1 species
AGUUUGAUCCUGGCUCAGGACGAACGCUGGCGGCGUGCCUAACACAUGCAAGUCGAGCGGGGGUAUACACGAAGAAGUUUUCGGACGGAAUUGUAUAUACUUUAGCGGCGGACGGGUGAGUAACGCGUGAGCAACCUGCCUUUCACAGGGGGAUAAGGCGGCGAAAGCCGCUCUAAUACCGCAUGAGACCACAGUGGUGAUGCUACAGGGGUCAAAGGAGCAAUCCGGUGAAAGAUGGGCUCGCGUCCGAUUAGGUAGUUGGUGGGGUAAUGGCCCACCAAGCCCGUGAUCGGUAGCCGGCCUGAGAGGGUGAACGGCCACAUUGGAACUGAGACACGGUCCAAACUCCUACGGGAGGCAGCAGUGGGGAAUAUUGGGCAAUGGGGGGAACCCUGACCCAGCAACGCCGCGUGAGGGAAGAAGGUUUUCGGAUUGUAAACCUCUGUUCUUGGGGAAGAGUAGAAGACGGUACCCAAGGAGGAAGCCCCGGCUAACUACGUGCCAGCAGCCGCGGUAAUACGUAGGGGGCGAGCGUUGUCCGGAAUGAUUGGGCGUAAAGGGCGCGUAGGCGGCUUUGCAAGUCAGUAGUGGAAGUCCAUUUUUCAAGGAUGGAAGUGCUACAGAAACUGCGGAGCUUGAGUGCAGGAGAGGUUAUCGGAAUUCCCGGUGUAGCGGUGAAAUGCGUAGAGAUCGGGAGGAACACCAGUGGCGAAGGCGGGUAACUGGACUGCAACUGACGCUGAGGCGCGAAAGUGUGGGGAGCAAACAGGAUUAGAUACCCUGGUAGUCCACACUGUAAACG